GGUUAAGAUAUUAAGGGCAAUUGGUGGAUGCCUUGGCGCCAAGAGGCGAAGAAGGACGUGGGAGGCUGCGAUAAGCCUCGGGGAGCCGUCAAACAGGCUUUGAUCCGGGGAUUUCCGAAUGGGGCAACCCACCUGAAGUAAUGUUCAGGUACCCCGCACUUACUUUAAACCAUAAGGGGCACAGCUUAUGCAUUAUGUCUAUCUUCUGGUUGGUGAUAACGGUGAAACAUAUGUAGGUUUUACGUCUAAUUUAAAGAGAAGAAUAGAAGAGCAUAAGAGUGGUCGUUCAAUAGCUACAAAGCACUGCAAAUGGCAGCUUGCAUAUUAUGAAGCUUAUGCAAGCAAACAAGAUGCGGUUAAAAGAGAGCAAAAGCUGAAGCAGGAUGGUCGUUCAAAACGAUGGUUGCUUGAGCGUGCCGAGUCAAGCAUGCAGGAACUUUGUGGUUUAAAGUAAGUGCGGGGAGCGAACCCGGGGAAGUGAAACAUCUCAGUACCCGGAGGAAAAGAAAUCAAGAGAGAUUCCCCAAGUAGCGGCGAGCGAACGGGGAUUAGCCCAAACCUCGUGUCUUCGGGCACGGGGGGUUGUAGGGCCUUCAACACGGUGAUUCGCGAUUAGAUAGCAGAACUACCUGGGAUAGGUAGGCCAUAGAAGGUGAAAGCCCUGUAUGCGAAAUCGAAAGCGACGCCAGAAGGUACCUGAGUACCACGGGGCACGUGGAACCCUGUGGGAAUCCGGGAGGACCAUCUUCCAAGGCUAAAUACUACUUGGCGACCGAUAGUGAACCAGUACCGUGAGGGAAAGGUGAAAAGAACCCCUGUUAGGGGAGUGAAACGAGAACCUGAAACCAAUUGCCUACAAGCAGUUCGAGCCCCGCACUUACUUUAUUUACGGAUUCUAAGGCCCCGCACUUACUUUAUUUACGGAUUAUUAGGCUACUAGCUGGUUCAUUGAAAUAUAAUUUCUUAUAAUCAGCUAUAAGCCAUAAAAUCCAUUCAUAAAGUAAGUGCGGGGUCCAAGAAUCCGUUGAUAAAGUAAGUGCGGGGUGAGAGCGUGCCUUUUGCAUAAUGGGCCAGCGAGUUAAUCUACAGUGCGAGGUUAAGCCGAAGAGGUGUAGCCGUAGCGAAAGCGAGUCUGAACAGGGCUAUUAGUACUGUGGAUUAGACCCGAAGCCGGGUGAGCUAUUCAUGGGCAGGGUGAAGCUUGGGUAAAACCAAGUGGAGGCCCGAACCAGUAGAGGUUGAAAACUCUUUGGAUGACCUGUGAAUAGGGGUGAAAGGCCAAUCAAACCCGGUGAUAGCUGGUUCUCCCCGAAAUAUAUUGAGGUAUAGCCUCGGGUGUUUACUUGCGGAGGUAGAGCACUGAAAGGGCUAGGGGCCCCACCAGGUUACCAAACCCUAUCAAACUCCGAAUGCCGUAAGUUGAAGCCCGGGAGUCAGACUGCGGGUGAGAAGGUCCGUGGUCGAGAGGGAAACAGCCCAGACCGUCGGCUAAGGUCCCUAAAUAUGUGCUAAGUGGGAAAGGAAGUGGAACUACUUUGACAGCCAGGAGGUUGGCUUAGAAGCAGCCAUCCUUUAAAGAAAGCGUAAUAGCUCACUGGUCUAGUGGUUCUGCGCCGAAAAUGUACCGGGGCUAAAGCACAUUACCGAAGCCACGGAGGUCAGAGGACAUAGUUCUCUGGUCUGGUAGGGGAGCGUUCUCUUCGGGACGAAGUUCAACCGAGAGGUUGGGUGGACUGUAGAGAAGUGAGUAUGCUGGCAUGAGUAACGAUAAAACGGGUGAGAAACCCGUUCGCCGUAAGCCUAAGGUUUCCUGGGUAAAGUUAAUCUGCCCAGGGUUAGUCGGCCCCUAAGACGAGGCUGAAAAGCGUAGUCGAUGGGAAACAGGUUAAUAUUCCUGUACCUGCUUGUUGAUCGUUUGAGUGAUGGGGUGACGCAGAAGGGUAGGUCAUCCGGGUGUUGGACGUCCCGGUUCAAGCCUGUAGGCUGAAGAUCCAGGCAAAUCCGGAUCUUCAUAAGGCCGAGAGGUGAUGACGAGUCUUAAUAGACGGAAGUGACUGAUCCCAUGCUGCCUAGAAAAACCUCUAAGCGAGAUCAACUGGCGGACCGUACCGUAAACCAACACAGGUAGGCGGGGAGAGUAUCCCAAGGCGCUUGAGAUAACUCUGGCUAAGGAACUCGGCAAAAUGACCCCGUAACUUCGGGAGAAGGGGUGCUCCUUUGGGUGAUUAAAUUUACUUUAUGAGCCUGGGGGAGUCGCAGCGAAAUGGCGGUGGCGACUGUUUACUAAAAACACAGGUCUCUGCGAAGUCGCAAGACGACGUAUAGGGACUGACGCCUGCCCGGUGCCGGAAGGUUAAGGGGAGAUGUUAUUUUACUUCGGUGGGAGAAGCAUUGAACCGAAGCCCCGGUAAACGGCGGCCGUAACUAUAACGGUCCUAAGGUAGCGAAAUUCCUUGUCGGGUAAGUUCCGACCUGCACGAAUGGCGUAACGAUCGCCGCACUGUCUCGGCCAGAGGCUCAGUGAAAUUGAAUUCUCGGUGAAGAUGCCGAGUACCCGCAGCAAGACGGAAAGACCCUGUGCACCUUUACUACAGCUUGACAUUGGACUUUGGGCUAUCAUGUGUAGGAUAGGUGGGAGGCUUUGAAGCGGUCACGCUAGUGAUCGUGGAGCCGCCCUUGAAAUACCACCCUUGGUAGUCUAGGGUUCUAAUCCCGACCUGUGAAGCCAGGCGGGAGACAUUGUCUGGCGGGUAGUUUGACUGGGGCGGUCGCCUCCCAAAUAGUAACGGAGGCGUGCAAAGGUUCCCUCAGGCUGAUUGGAAACCAGCCGUUGAGUGCAAAGGCAUAAGGGAGCUUGACUGUGAGAGAGACAUCUCGAGCAGGUACGAAAGUAGGCCUUAGUGAUCCGGUGGUUCUGAAUGGAAGGGCCAUCGCUCAUCGGAUAAAAGGUACGCCGGGGAUAACAGGCUGAUCGCGUCCAAGAGUUCACAUCGACGACGCGGUUUGGCACCUCGAUGUCGGCUCAUCACAUCCUGGGGCUGGAGCAGGUCCCAAGGGUAUGGCUGUUCGCCAUUUAAAGUGGUACGCGAGCUGGGUUUAAAACGUCGUGAGACAGUUUGGUCCCUAUCUGCUGUGGGCGCAGGAGACUUGCGAGGCUCUGUUCCUAGUACGAGAGGACCGGAAUGGACGAUCCUCUAGUGGACCUGUUGUCGCGCCAGCGGCACAGCAGGGUAGCUAUGAUCGGCAGGGAUAACCGCUGAAAGCAUCUAAGCGGGAAGCCUUCCUCAAGAUAAGGUCUCCCCUCUGACAUGUACGCAAGUACGUGUUGGACUAAAGGACCCUGGAAGACCACCAGGUAGAUAGGCCGGAAGUGUAAGCAUGGCAACAUGUUGAGCUGACCGGUACUAAUAGUCCGUGAGUCUUAACCUG
rfam:Desulfonatronospira thiodismutans ASO3-1 ctg21, whole genome shotgun sequence.